UCCAAUGCGUUUUGAGAAGGAGGCGAAUAAAGCGGAAAGAGGACGCGAGAAGUAGACAAACUGAGUUCCGGACAAAGACUUGGGAACACAAAACGCCCGGGGUGGAGCAUGGACCGGACGUUAGAUCCACUGUCCUCAAAUCCUGUCCUCAAAGGCCUCAGACAGCAACAGACACAGUCUGCUCCAUUCAUUCCGUGAUACUGCGGCUGCUGGGGAAGCCAGGGGUUGACGAAGAGCAGGUGUGACUGUGGCGACUGGGGAAGCCAAUGGUUGACAAAGAGCAGGUGUGACUGCGGUUGUUUGGGAAGCCAAUGGUUGACGAAGAGCAGGCAUGACUGCGGCUGCUGGGGAAGCCAGGGGUUGACGAAGAGCCGGCGUGACUGCGGCUGCUGGGGAAGCCAGGGGUUGACGAAGAGUCGGCGUGACUGCGGCUGCUGGGUAAGCCAGGGGUUGACGAAGAGCAGGCGUGACUGCGGCUGCUGGGGAAGCCAGGGGUUGACGAAGGGCAGGCGUGACUGCGGCUGCUGGGGAAGCCAGGGGUUGACGAAGGGCAGGCGUGACUGCGGCUGCUGGGGAUGCCAGGGGUUGACGAAGAGCAGGCGUGCGUCCCAAAUGACGCCCUAUUCCGUAUAUAGUGCCUGGGCGCUCUGGUCAAAAGUAAUGCACUUCAUAGGGACUAGGAUGCCAUUUGGGACGGGAGGAUGCUGGGCCGCGUGCAUGGGAGACCAUGGGGCGUUUGCUCUUCUCAAUGGGAUAACAAAAGCUGGGUGAGCUGCGUGUGUUUCGCAUGUGUGCAGCUUUGGUGAUGGCCCUGUUAACAGAGGCUGAAGAAGAGACAAUAGCAUUUACACUUGUUCAAAUAGAGACUAAAUACAAACACAACCUUAAUAAAUCUCCUUGACUAAUUGGAUGUGUGAGACAUGGCAGAGUGAGUGUUUGUCACCUGGUCAGGUAUAAGGGAUAACUUGUCCUGGGAGGUUAAUGACAUUAGAUUUUUAUUAUUGGAACUUUUGUGUUUGUAAUGUUUACUGUAAAUGUUUUAUUGUUUAUUUCACAUGUGUUUAUUAUCUAUUUCACUU